UUAUUGGCCGGUUCAUGGGCUCGAAUGCCCGUUUUCCCCCCCCUUUCUCCACCCCUCUUGUUCAGAUGGCCCUCCUCCUCGCAUGGCGGACACCGACGGUCAUCUCACCGUCCCCUCCUGUCCCUCGACCUCGAUGACCCGCUCUAUCGCCGGAGCAUCGCGGAUGACCCUCGUGUAUAUCUUCCGGUACCGGACGCCCUCCAUCUCUGGGCUUAAACGGUGGCGUAAAGAUGGUUGUCUGCCUGCCGCUCGGCUGGUGCCCUUAGCGCUUGCCAUCGUGGUAGAGCAAGUCGCCACGGUUGGGCUCUGUACCGGGGGAAGGACGAGAAGAACCCCGUGACACGGUGGCGAUCGAGCGUCGUGCGGAUCAUCAGGAUCUGCGCCCGAUAGUCCCAUGAUCGGGCGACGAAAGACUUCCUCCUUGCUUUUUGAUCGAUCAGAACCGUCCGAAUGGGAUGACGUCAUGACAUUCUAGAUGGCCUCACACCGUUCUAUUCUGUCAAAGCGACCUCACCUGUAAUGAGCGGGGCAGGGAAGCGAGAGUGUCUCUCGGUCGUGGGCCCCCAAACGAACGGUUGUGGCUCGCCGAAGAGAGGUACUUUCAUGGGGCUCGCUUUCUUUUUCCGCUUUCUCAACCGCCCAUUCUUCUUUUCGGUGGCUUUCGCCCUCCCCUUGGCUGAUGUAGACGGCGAUCUCGCCGUUCCCUCCUCUCACUCGACCUUAAUGACUUCCACUAUGCCGGAGCGCCACUGGCGCUGCCGCUGAUGAUCCUUCGGGUACCAUACGCCCGCCGCCUGUGGGUUCAAAGGUUGGCGCAAAGACGUCCCUAUGCCUGCCGAUUGCCGCCGCUCGGCUGGUGCUCUUGGCGCUGGCGAUUGUGGCGGAGCACGUCGCCACAGUUGGCCUAUCUUCGGAGGGAAGGACAAGGGGAGCCUCGUGCCACGGUAGUGGCGCAGCGCUGUGUAGAUCAUCAGGAUCUACGCCAGGUUCUCUAACACAAUCAAGAAAGCUCACACUUCAUGAAAUAAAGGUAAUGCUGAUAUGGCUGCGCAUUACUACUACUGUUGUGGGUCGAUGACAUCAUUCUGAUGCAAGUAGUGCGGCUGAUCAACUUUUAUGCUAGCAAUCUGAGAGAUGGACGAUAAUCACGAUGAUAGAUCAACUUUUGAUCGUAAGUCUAUAUACAUUGUGAAAAUUGAGAAAUUGAAACCCCCCCACCCUACGGCUUCUCCUUA